rnacentral:rRNA from 1 species
UACGUAGGUGGCAACGACGUGUUCGGUUCGAUUCUGGGCGUAAAGAGCGCGCAGGCGGUCGUUCCAAGUCGCGUGUGAAAGCCCCCGGCUCAACUGGGGAGGGUCACGCGAUACUGAUCGACUCGAAGGCAGGAGAGGGUAGUGGAAUUCCCGGUGUAGUGGUGAAAUGCGUAGAUAUCUGGAGGAACACCGGUGGCGAAGGCGGCAUCCUGGACCGGCAUUGACGCUGAGGAGCGAAAGCCAGGGGAGCAAACGGG